GCUGAUGAGAGACAGGAGCGAUGGAUGGUCUGAGUUAGCGGGGUCCCGGCACCACCCAGCGCAAAGGCACUGCACUCACACACGCCGUGCAUAUGCUGGCUCACCUCCUCCAUCCUCUCCUGUUUCCAGCAUUCCCUCUGGAAUACAUCAGCACUGUUGCCUUUGAGGCUGGCCUGCCUGAGUGCACACCUGAGCUCGGGAUUCACAGUGGAGGAAGCCAGAUGCCAUGUCAUGAGGGUGCUCAAGCAGCUUUCUGGAGAUGUAUGUAUGGAGAGAAACUGAGGCCUCCUGCCAACAGCCAGCACUAACUUGCCAAGCAUGUUUGUGAGCCACCUGGGAAGUGGAGCCUUCAGCCCCAGUUAAGCCUUCAGAUGAGACUGCAGUCCUGGCCACCAUCUGGACUGCAGCUUCACAAAAGCUCCUAAGUCAGAGCCAUGCAGAUGGAUUCUUGGCCCCCAGAAAUUGUGCCACUACCUUUUGGGAAAUUUAUUAUGCAGCCAUAGAUAACCAAUACACUCACUAUUUCUUUUUUCUGAUGCCAUACUA
rnacentral:lncRNA from 1 species